GACGGACGCUGGCGGCGUGCUUAACACAUGCAAGUCGAACGGUGAAGCGCCUUCCUUUUUGGUGGGUGUGGAUGAGUGGCGAACGGGUGAGUAACACGUGAGUAACCUGCCCCCUUCUUCUGGAUAACCGCAUGAAAGUGUGGCUAAUACGGGAUAUUCUGGGUCUGUCGCAUGAUGGGUCUGGGAAAGAUAUUGUUUCGGUGGGGGAUGGGCUCGCGGCCUAUCAGCUUGUUGGUGGGGUGAUGGCCUACCAAGGCGGUGACGGGUAGCCGGCCUGAGAGGGUGGACGGUCACACUGGGACGGAGACACGGCCCAGACUCCUACAGGAGGCAGCAGUGGGGAAUAUUGCACAAUGGGCGCAAGCCUGAUGCAGCGACGCCGCGUGAGGGAUGGAGGCCUGCGGGUUGUGAACCUCUUUCGCCAGUGAAGCAGGCCUGCCUCGUUUGUGGGUGGGUUGACGGUAGCUGGAUAAGAAGCGCCGGCUAACUACGUG
rnacentral:rRNA from 1 species